rnacentral:rRNA from 1 species
CCUACGGGAGGCAGCAGUGAGGAAUAUUGGACAAUGGGCGCAAGCCUGAUCCAGCCAUGCCGCGUGCAGGAUGACGGUCCUAUGGAUUGUAAACUGCUUUUGCACAGGAAGAAACAACAUUACGUGUAAUGUCUUGACGGUACUGUGAGAAUAAGGAUCGGCUAACUCCGUGCCAGCAGCCGCGGUAAUACGGAGGAUCCAAGCGUUAUCCGGAAUCAUUGGGUUUAAAGGGUCCGUAGGCGGUUUGGUAAGUCAGUGGUGAAAGCCCAUCGCUCAACGGUGGAACGGCCAUUGAUACUGCCAGACUUGAAUUAUUAGGAAGUAACUAGAAUAUGUAGUGUAGCGGUGAAAUGCUUAGAGAUUACAUGGAAUACCAAUUGCGAAGGCAGGUUACUACUAAUGGAUUGACGCUGAUGGACCGAAAGCGUGGGUAGCGAACAGGAUUAGAUACCCUGGUAGUCCACGCCGUAAACGAUGGAUACUAGNUGUGGUAGNGAUCUCNGUGUGUAGAGAAGUAGAUAGUAUACCACCGUCGGA